UACGUAGGGUGCGAGCGUUGUCCGGAAUUAUUGGGCGUAAAGAGCUCGUAGGCGGUCUGUCGCGUCGGUCGUGAAAACCUGCAGCUUAACUGUGGGCGUGCGGUCGAUACGGGCAUCACUGGAGUUCGGCAGGGGAGACUGGAAUUCCUGGUGUAGCGGUGAAAUGCGCAGAUAUCAGGAGGAACACCGGUGGCGAAGGCGGGUCUCUGGGCCGAUACUGACGCUGAGGAGCGAAAGCGUGGGGAGCAAACAGG
rnacentral:rRNA from 1 species